rnacentral:rRNA from 1 species
UACAGAGGUGGCAAGCGUUGUUCGGAAUUACUGGGCGUAAAGGGCGCGUAGGCGGUUCGUUAAGUCCUGUGUGAAAUCCCCCGGCUCAACUGGGGAACUGCACAGGAAACUAGCGGGCUUGAGUUCGGGAGAGGGAAGCGGAAUUCCGGGUGUAGCGGUGAAAUGCGUAGAUAUCAGGAGGAACACCUGCGGUGUAGACGGCUUACUGGACCAUAACUGACGCUGAGGCACGAAAGCGUGGGUAGCAAACAGG